ensembl:lncRNA
GACAUUGAAGGCUUGUUUGAUUCAUAUGGUGUUAAACUCUCGCUGCUGAAUGCCUUGAUUGACAGGCUGCUUCAGGAUGGAAUGCAGGAGCUUCUUUAUGAGAUCAGCACCAUCAGAAAAGUAAAAGGAGACAUACAGGAGCUAGACUCAAACAGCAUUACUGCAUACACCGUGAGUAGCCUCCUGAACUUAUGAAACAUCUCAGAUAAACAAAUUACUAUAAUAUCAUAAAAAAACUCUGAUUACUAGUCAGGUAGAUUUUGGGUUUAUGAUCCACAUCCACUAUCAGCAAUAAUGUUCUUGCUGUAUUAAGCCUAUUUUGAAUCAUAAGACCUAAUCCACAGAGCUCACCCACAAGAGUCAUUAUCUGAUACGGAUUUGAUUGAGGAAGAGUCUGAUCUUGAAGAGGGGCCUGAAUCAAGUCCUGUAUGCAAACAUUCAUUCCUGUAUCAGUAAUUACAGCAUCAUUUUCCAUAAUCCAUUUCUAACCGAACAUCAACACACUUUAUUCAGUUUUUUUUUCAGAUAUACUUGACUGAUUUGUUCUGAUAUAGUGUUCUAAUCAGCAUUUAAUGCAAGCAAUACAGCUGUCAUUGUUUUUAAUGUGCCUUCAGUGUCUUGUCUUGUCAUUGUAAGAAGCCUGUAGUAGAAAAAGAAGUGGGUAAUACCCUUUUGAACAUCUCUACUAUUCACAAAAAGGCUGACCUGAGUAAAACCAAAGACAAACUGGUAGUUGUCGAAGAAAAGAAACUGGUGGAGACCAGCUUCAGUGAUGUAACACCUUUGAAAUUUCUCCAAACCAACACUUCCUCUGAGAGGGAAGAUCAAGACAACAUGGAAGAAGAGGUUGAGGAAGCAUCGUCUGACGAUGAGGAAUAUGAAUAUGAGGUAAGUCUGUCACAUGAUCCCAUUUUGAAAUCUAAUAUUAGACACCUCAAUGAUGGCAAAUACACUGAUGUGAUUCAUAAUCUCAAAAGAUAUUGCAUAGUAGAUCAGAUUUUGUCUAUAAUGUGUUGACACAUUUAUAAUAAAUUGAACGGGACCUGACA